rnacentral:rRNA from 1 species
GAUGAACGCUGGCGGCGUGCCUAAUACAUGCAAGUAGAACGCUGAAGGAGGAGCUUGCUCUUCUGGAUGAGUUGCGAACGGGUGAGUAACGCGUAGGUAACCUGCCUGGUAGCGGGGGAUAACUAUUGGAAACGAUAGCUAAUACCGCAUGACAACAGUUAUUGCAUGAUAACUGUUUAAAAGGGGCAACUGCUCCACUACCAGAUGGACCUGCGUUGUAUUAGCUAGUUGGUGAGGUAACGGCUCACCAAGGCGACGAUACAUAGCCGACCUGAGAGGGUGAUCGGCCACACUGGGACUGAGACACGGCCCAGACGCCUACGGGAGGCAGCAGUAGGGAAUCUUCGGCAAUGGACGGAGGUCUGACCGAGCAACGCCGCGUGAGUGAAGAAGGUUGUCGGAUCGUAAAGCUCGGUUGUAAGAGAAGAACGAGUGUGAGAGUGGAAAGUUCACACUGUGACGGUAUCUUACCAGAAAGGGACGGCUAACUACGUG